UACGUAGGGUGCGAGCGUUGUCCGGAAUUACUGGGCGUAAAGCGUGCGCAGGCGGCUUUGCAAGACAGAUGUGAAAUCCCCGGGCUUAACCUGGGAAUGGCAUUUGGGACUGCAAGGCUCGAGUGCGGCAGAGGAGACUGGAAUUCCUGGUGUAGCAGUGAAAUGCGUAGAUAUCAGGAGGAACACCGAUGGCGAAGGCAGGUCUCUGGGCUGACACUGACGCUCAUGCACGAAAGCGUGGGGAGCAAACAGG
rnacentral:rRNA from 1 species